GACGAACGCUGGCGGCGUGCUUAACACAUGCAAGUCGAACGGAAAGGCCCUGCUUUUGUGGGGUGCUCGAGUGGCGAACGGGUGAGUAACCCGUGAGUAACCUGCCCUUGACUUUGGGAUAACUUCAGGAAACUGGGGCUACUACCGGCUAGGAGCUCCUGCUGCAUGGUGGGGGUUGGAACGUUUCGGCGGUUGGGGAUGGACUCGCGGCUUAUCAGCUUGUUGGUGGGGUAGUUGCUUACCAAGGCUUUGACGGGUAGCCGGCCUGAGAGGGUGAACGGCGACAUUGGGACUGAGAGACGGCCCAGACUCCUACGGGAGGCAGCAGUGGGGAAUAUUGCACAAUGGGCGGAAGCCUGAUGCAGCAACGCCGCGUGCGGGAUGACGGCCUUCGGGGUGUAAACCGCUGUCGCCUGUGACGAAGCGUGAGUGACGGUAAUGGGUAAAGAAGCACCGGCUAACUACGUG
rnacentral:rRNA from 1 species